CCUACGGGAGGCAGCAGUGGGGAAUUUUGGACAAUGGGCGAAAGCCUGAUCCAGCAAUGCCGCGUGAGUGAAGAAGGCCUUCGGGUUGUAAAGCUCUUUUGUCAGGGAAGAAACGGUGAGAGCUAAUAUCUUUUGCUAAUGACGGUACCUGAAGAAUAAGCACCGGCUAACUACGUGCCAGCAGCCGCGGUAAU
rnacentral:rRNA from 1 species